rnacentral:rRNA from 1 species
CGAAAGGCGGGCUAACAUCAGAUGAUAUAUAAUCACGACAUCGUGGAAAUAUCAAAUCUUCGGAGCCUUGGGAUGAGCCUGCGUCUGAUUAGGUAGUUGGCGGAGUAAUAGCCCACCAAGCCUACGAUCAGUAGCUGGUCUGAGAGGAUGAUCAGCCACACUGGAACUGAGACACGGUCCAGACUCCUACGGGAGGCAGCAGUAAGGAAUAUUGCUCAAUGGGGGAAACCCUGAAGCAGCAACGCCGCGUGAAGGAUGAAAUACUUUGUAUGUAAACUUCUGUAAGAUGGGAAAAUAUUCUCCUCGGGAGAAUUGAUUGUACCAUCAGAGUAAGCCCCGGCUAACUACGUG